rnacentral:rRNA from 1 species
GAUGAACGCUGGCGGCGUGCCUAAUACAUGCAAGUCGAGCGAACGGACGAGAAGCUUGCUUCUCUGAUGUUAGCGGCGGACGGGUGAGUAACACGUGGAUAACCUACCUAUAAGACUGGGAUAACUUCGGGAAACCGGAGCUAAUACCGGAUAAUAUUUUGAACCGCAUGGUUCAAAAGUGAAAGACGGUCUUGCUGUCACUUAUAGAUGGAUCCGCGCUGCAUUAGCUAGUUGUUGAGGUAACGGCUUACCAAGGCAACGAUGCAUAGCCGACCUGAGAGGGUGAUCGGCCACACUGGAACUGAGACACGGUCCAGACUCCUACGAGAGGCAGCAGUAGGGAAUCUUCCGCAAUGGGCGAAAGCCUGACGGAGCAACGCCGCGUGAGUGAUGAAGGUCUUCGGAUCGUAAAACUCUGUUAUUAGGGAAGAACAUAUGUGUAAGUAACUGUGCACAUCUUGACGGUACCUAAUCAGAAAGCCACGGCUAACUACGUG